CUAUAGCUAGAGCUAUAUUGAUAUAUAGAGUUAGACUCUUCCAAAUUCUUCCCAACACACUUGGUGUGAAAGAGGGUCUAUAGAAAUUGUGUUUCAUUUUUCAUGUUGUGAAAAUUUGGGACAAGAUUGGGUGAUGGCUUCAUCCAUUAAUAUCUACUCAAAUGGACUAAUCAUUGUGAUGCUCAUCUAUUCUUUCACAUUCCUUGCUUCUAUAUCAGGAAGAAUUGAAGAAAGGAAACAAAUGAGAAUGGUGAUGUUGGGAUCAAGUCCACCAAAGUGUGUUAAUAGAUGCAAAGGAUGCAGACCUUGCAUUGCUACACUUGUUAUUCCUCCACAUACAAACAAAGGUUUAAAAACAAUAACAUCUAGAGAAGAUGAAGGCUAUUAUCUCCUUUCAUGGAAAUGCAAAUGUGGAACUAAGUAUUUUCAUCCUUGAAAUGUUGAUCUUCUAAUACAAUAUUCUUUUCUUUUUUCUUUUCUAACUUAAGAGUAGGAAGGUAAUUAAACUAGUGAACAAUAUCUUGGUUUGUUAAUGCAUUUUAUGCACAACUUUGAGUUAGUUAAUUAGUUGACAUGUAUAUAUUUCUUCAGAGAUAAUGAUGAAAAAAACACUUUGCGAGUUUCUUA